rnacentral:rRNA from 1 species
GUCUAUAGCCAUGCCACCCUGAACAAGCCCGAUCCUGUCUGAUCUUGGAAGCUAAGCAGGGUCAGGCCUGGUUAGUACUUGGGACACCACCUAGGAAGACCAGGUGCUGUAGGCG